GUCGUGAGGCGGAGCUAAUCCCUUAAAGCCAUUCUCAGUUCGGAUUGUAGGCUGAAACUCGCCUACAUGAAGCUGGAGUUACUAGUAAUCGCAGAUCAGAAUGCUGCGGUGAAUGCGUUCCCGGGUCUUGUACACACCGCCCAUCACACCACGGAAGUUGGGGGCGCCCGAAGCCACUUAGCUAACCCUUUUGGGAAGCGAGUGUCGAAGGUGAAAUCAAUAACUGGGGUGAAGUCGUAACAAGGUAGC
rnacentral:rRNA from 1 species